rnacentral:rRNA from 1 species
ACGCUGGCGGCGUGCCUAAUACAUGCAAGUAGAACGCUGAAGCUUGGUGCUUGCACCGAGCGGAUGAGUUGCGAACGGGUGAGUAACGCGUAGGUAACCUGCCUGGUAGCGGGGGAUAACUAUUGGAAACGAUAGCUAAUACCGCAUAACAGUAGAUAUCGCAUGAUAUGUGCUUGAAAGGUGCAAAUGCAUCACUACCAGAUGGACCUGCGUUGUAUUAGCUAGUUGGUGAGGUAACGGCUCACCAAGGCAACGAUACAUAGCCGACCUGAGAGGGUGAUCGGCCACACUUGGACUGAGACACGGCCCAGACUCCUACGGGAGGCAGCAGUAGGGAAUUUUCGGCAAUGGACGGAAGUCUGACCGAGCAACGCCGCGUGAGUGUAGAAGGUUUUCGGAUCGUAAAGCUCUGUUGUAAGAGAAGAACGAGUGUGAGAGUGGAAAGUUCACACUGUGACGGUAUCUUACCAGAAAGGGACGGCUAACUACGUGCCAGCAGCCGCGGUAAUACGUAGGUCCCGAGCGUUGUCCGGAUUUAUUGGGCGUAAAGCGAGCGCAGGCGGUUAGAUAAGUCUGAAGUUAAAGGCUGUGGCUUAACCAUAGUACGCUUUGGAAACUGUUUAACUUGAGUGCAAGAGGGGAGAGUGGAAUUCCAUGUGUAGCGGUGAAAUGCGUAGAUAUAUGGAGGAACACCGGUGGCGAAAGCGGCUCUCUGGCUUGUAACUGACGCUGAGGCUCGAAAGCGUGGGGAGCAAACAGGAUUAGAUACCCUGGUAGUCCACGCCGUAAACGAUGAGUGCUAGGUGUUAGACCCUUUCCGGGGUUUAGUGCCGUAGCUAACGCAUUAAGCACUCCGCCUGGGGAGUACGACCGCAAGGUUGAAACUCAAAGGAAUUGACGGGGGCCC